GUGCAGCAGUCGAGAAUUUUCACAAUGGGGGAAACCCGUACGAUGGAGCGACGCCGCGUGGAGGAUGAAGGCCUCCGGGUCGGUAAACUCCUGUCAUGCGGGAACAAGAAAGUAGAUAGUACCGCAAGAGGAAGAGACGGCUAACUCUGUGCCAGCAGCCGCGGUAAUACAGAGGUCUCAAGCGUUAUUCGGAUUCAUUGGGCGUAAAGGGUGCGUAGGUGGCGAUGUAAGUCUGGUGUGAAAUCUCGGAGCUUAACUCCGAAACUGCAUUGGAUACUGCGUUGCUUGAGGAUUGUAGAGGAGAGUGGAAUUCACGGUGUAGCAGUGAAAUGCGUAGAUAUCGUGAGGAAGACCAGUUGCGAAGGCGACUCUCUGGGCAAUUCCUGACACUGAGGCACGAAGGCCAGGGGAGCAAACGGGAUUAGAUACCCGGGUAGU
rnacentral:rRNA from 1 species